rnacentral:tRNA from 1 species
GAGGCGGUGCGCGGCGGAAAAGCUGGGGAUACGGACUCAUAAUCCGUCGGUCACGGGUUCAAGUCCCGUCCGCCCUA